rnacentral:rRNA from 1 species
GACGAACGCGGCGGCGUGCCUAAUACAUGCAAGUCGAACGAACCGCGACUAGGUGCUUGCACUUGGUCAAGGUGAGUGGCGAACGGGUGAGUAACACGUGUUAACCUACCUCAUAGUGGGGGAUAACAGUCGGAAACGACUGCUAAUACCGCAUAGGACAUAGGAUCACAUGAUCCAGUGAGGAAAGGUGGCGCAAGCUAUCGCUAAGAGAUGGACCCGCGGUGCAUAGCUAGUUGGUAGGGUAAAGGCCUACCAAGGCGAUGAUGCAUAGCCGACCUGAGAGGGUGAUCGGCCACAUUGGGACUGAGACACGGCCCAAACUCCUACGGGAGGCAGCAGUAGGGAAUCUUCCGCAAUGGACGCAAGUCUGACGGAGCAACGCCGCGUGAGUGAAGAAGGUCUUCGGAUCGUAAAGCCCUGUUGUUAGAGAAGAACAGCGCAUAG